CGUAGGGCGCGAGCGUUGUCCGGAUUUAUUGGGCGUAAAGAGCUCGUAGGCGGCUUGUCGCGUCGUCUGUGAAAUCCCGCGGCUCAACCGCGGGUCUGCAGUCGAUACGGGCAGGCUAGAGUUCGGUAGGGGAGACUGGAAUUCCUGGUGUAGCGGUGAAAUGCGCAGAUAUCAGGAGGAACACCGGUGGCGAAGGCGGGUCUCUGGGCCGAUACUGACGCUGAGGAGCGAAAGCGUGGGGAGCGAACAGG
rnacentral:rRNA from 1 species